GGCCAAGCAAGGUUCGAAGCGGCAGAGCCACCAGGGCCUUGGGGCGUAGAGGGGUCUGGGUUCCGGGUCCCAGGUACGUUCGUCCACAGCAUCACCCCUCCUCUGCUCACAGCUUCAGCAAAGCCUGCUCCGGAGCGCCGGUCUCCUGUGCGUGAGGAAGGGCCCAAGUGCUAGCCUGGUGAUGGGCCUGGCCGAGGAGGACGUGCGAUCUGGGGUCAUUAAGAGCUCCUCAUUGAUCCUGGAAAUGCAGUGUGUUUUUAAGUGGAUUGGUUUUACCAGUGAGCAUUAGAAGUGUUUGAGGAUGCUGCACAUGCCUGAUGAACGACCGUGCCCACGCCGUGAAGGAGCAGGGCAGAAACUUCCGCUCAACAGGAUCUGGUGCUCAGACGCAGGCAGGACGGCCGUGCGUACCUGAAGCAGCCUCUUGGUGGGAAUCCCACCGGCACCUUAGUGUGGGUGUCACUCACUUGGUGUGUGUGUCACUCACUUUGAGGCCUCUAGGAUUCUCCAGAAAGAAACCUCUGAGGAUGGGAGACUGGUUGGAGCAGCCGCCAAGUGCCAAGGAGAGCUGCCAGGUGCAGAGGGAAAAGGAAGUUGUCAGUCAAGGUCCCAGCAGAAAUUCACCCUAAAUGGUUAAAAUAAAGAGA
rnacentral:lncRNA from 1 species